GACGAAUGCUGGCUGCGUGCUUAACACUUGCAAGUCGAACGGUGAAGGAGGGCUUGCCCUCCGGAUCAGUGGCGAACGGGUGAGUAACACGUGGGCAACCUGCCCCUCACUCUGGGAUAACGCCGGGAAACCGGCGCUAAUACCGGAUACGACCAGGCGCGACAUCUCGCCUGGUGGAAAGAAUUUCGGUGAGGGAUGGGCCCGCGGCCUAUCAGCUUGUUGGUGGGGUAAUGGCCCACCAAGGCGACGACGGGUAGCCGGCCUGAGAGGGCGACCGGCCACACUGGGACUGAGACACGGCCCAGACUCCUACGGGAGGCAGCAGUGGGGAAUAUUGCGCAAUGGGCGAAAGCCUGACGCAGCGACGCAGCGUGAGGGACGAAGGCCUUCGGGUUGUAAACCUCUUUCAGCGGGGACGAAGCGAAAGUGACGGUACCCGCAGAAGAAGCACCGGCUAACUACGUGCCAGCCGCCGCCGUAAGAC
rnacentral:rRNA from 1 species